GGGGAAUCUUCCGCAAUGGACGAAAGUCUGACGGAGCAACGCCGCGUGAGUGAUGACGGCCUUCGGGUUGUAAAGCUCUGUUAAUCGGGACGAAAGGCCUUCUUGCGAAUAGUUAGAAGGAUUGACGGUACCGGAAUAGAAAGCCACGGCUAACUACGUGCCAGCAGCCGCGGUAAUACGUAGGUGGCAAGCGUUGUCCGGAAUUAUUGGGCGUAAAGCGCGCGCAGGCGGAUUGGUCAGUCUGUCUUAAAAGUUCGGGGCUUAACCCCGUGAUGGGAUGGAAACUGCCAAUCUAGAGUAUCGGAGAGGAAAGUGGAAUUCCUAGUGUAGCGGUGAAAUGCGUAGAUAUUAGGAAGAACACCAGUGGCGAAGGCGACUUUCUGGACGAAAACUGACGCUGAGGCGCGAAAGCCAGGGGAGCAAACGGGAUUAGAUACCCCGGUAGUCCUGGCCGUAAACGAUGGGUACUAGGUGUAGGAGGUAUCGACCCCUUCUGUGCCGGAGUUAACGCAAUAAGUACCCCGCCUGGGGAGUACGACCGCAAGGUUG
rnacentral:rRNA from 1 species